GGCGGGUUGGCAGAUCAUGUGUCCGAUUUAGGAUCGGAAGAGGGGGCCCUGCUGAGGUCUCACCCGUUU